AGAGUUUGAUCAUGGCUCAGAUUGAACGCUGGCGGAAUGCUUUACACAUGCAAGUCGAACGGCAGCAUAGAGAGCUUGCUCUCUGAUGGCGAGUGGCGAACGGGUGAGUAAUAUAUCGGAACGUGCCUAGUAAUGGGGAAUAACUAGCUGAAAGGUUAGCUAAUGCCGCAUACGACCUACGGGUGAAAGCAGGGGAUCUUCGGACCUUGCGUUAUUAGAGCGGCCGAUAUCUGAUUAGCUUGUUGGUGGGGUAAUGGCCUACCAAGGCGACGAUCAGUAGCUGGUCUGAGAGGACGAUCAGCCACACUGGAACUGAGACACGGCCCAGACUCCUACGGGAGGCAGCAGUGGGGAAUU
rnacentral:rRNA from 1 species